CAUUCAAAAGGUCAUUUGACUAUGAAAAUUAUUUAGAUUUAAAGCACCCACAAAAACAUUUGUUACUGUGCUUAUCCAGUAAGCUUUGGGGUAUCACAAUAGCAAUGGCUCAAACAGUUUACCAAAUUGCAGUUAGAUUUCUUCUCCAACUAACUGAUCAACUGGUAAAAAUUUAGCAGAUUGCUCAAGUGAAAUGUUGUUAGUAUGAGUGAGUGCUGUGAAAUCAAAAGUAACACUUACCAUCCAGAUCCAGUUAGUUGAUAUCUUUGUCAUU
rnacentral:lncRNA from 1 species